GAGAAAACAGUAUAGGGACCUGCAUUGACCAAGGGAAGAACAGAGAAGACAGGCCGGAGGGCGCCGCUUCUUCCCUCUUGCAUCUCUGAGAUUCUCCCUUCCCUGCCACUGCGAGCUGUUGCAGACACCCAGAGGUAAAGAAGUACCUCUGGCAAAUGCACAGUUCUGCACACAGGAAGGCCAAGAGCCCAUCCAUCAACUGUGUCAAGAAACCCCCUUUUGGACCAGUUUCAGUGUUCUUUAAUGAAGAUGGGCUUUAUGAAGUUUCUCAGCUAUUUGUUUACAUUUACCAAAGACUAUAACAAGUCAGGUAUAGAUAAAAAUGCCUCAUCUAACUGAAAAUCAGCACUGAAGCUCAUUCCUUAGACACUGAGCUGAAGAUUACAUUAUCAAUCAGUAGACAGGCAGAGAUUCACAAGCUGAAGAUCUAAGCAACCCAGACAGGGAGCAAGCACGACCCUCAGAAGCACCUGGAUGAAGCCUCCAUAUACCCACAUCUCCAGGCCCUACCCCCGACUUGGACCAGAAUUUGCAGGGGGUGGCAAAGGACCGCUCCCCACAUGCUCAUGCACGGUCCUGGCUGAGAGCCAGCCUUCAACACCCAUCUCCCGUGAUUGGUUUUAAGAGGUGAAUGACAAGGAUGCACUAAGCCCCAGCCUGGUGCUGGCAGCAAAAGAGCCUUCAGUGCACAUUUGGAAGCCCAGGCCCACACAGCCACCCGCUGCAGUUACCACGCACAUUGCUACGAGGACACAGGGAUGGCUGGGGAGAGGGCUGGGAAUGUUUUCAGGGAAAGAAGGAUUGCCGCAAGUGGAAAACUCAUAGAAACCUAGCUGCAAGUCUGAUUAUUAAAUCUACUCCUGAGGCAGAGAGGGAUCCACCACAGCAGCUGUUCUUCCUCUCUGUGAGGAAGACACUGAAGGAAGGAAGAAACCCUGCACUAGAGACACCAGAGGUUGAUCAGUAAAGGUGAACUUACACCCCUGAAUUCUUCAUCUCCUGAUCGGAAGUCACCAGCUCCAUCAUCUAUUGGACACAAAGGAAAGGGAAAGUCAGCUCCUCGGCACCGGCCCACCCCAUUUUCACCUCCCAGACUCACUGUCCAGAGUGACUGUGCUUGUCCUGACUACAGUGGGGAUUGUUGGAGUGCAGGUUGACACACGCCACCCUUGAGUUCCCAUGUGUCCACUGUCCAGACAGGCAGGCAGAACACCAAGCAUGCAACUGACUCAUCUUAUACCCACCCAGGCCUAUUGGCCCCCAGGGCAUACCGUUUUCGGAAAAAUCGCCUUCACUGUCAGCCCGGGCCUGUUUGGUGUCUGGCUCGUCGUAAAUCUGCAGCUGCUUCCGUUUCCUGCCCAAGCUAUCUGGGCCGCAGCGAUCAAACCCUCUCCACCUGGGCUACAGACACAAGCAUAUCCCACUGUACCGCUUACUCAGACAGGUAACACACCCCAGAGAAAUGAAGAACAAAAAGGUUGUAAGAUCAGAGAACGAGGACAGAAUAUGUCUUUUCAGAAAGCAAACAACAUAGUUGGAAAACCCUGUUCCUCAAACUCAAAAACUACUCUGAGUGAAAGAAGCCAGACAAAAAAGUUGACAUGUUCUAUGAUCGCAUUCAUAUGAAAUGUCCAGGAGAGGGAAAUCUAGAGACAGAAAGUAGAUUAGUGGUUGCCAGAGGCUGGGGGAGAGAACAGGGAGUGACUGCUAACAGCAGAGGUUUCUUUCUGGGAUGAUGGGAAACAUUCUAAAAUUACAUGAUGGUGAAAGGUGCACAAUUCUGUACAUUUUUACUAAAAGUUGAACUGUACUUUUAAAAAUAAUAAACCUUA